GAUGAACGCUGGCGGCGUGCUUAACACAUGCAAGUCGAACGAAGCACUUUUAUUUGAUUUCUUCGGAAUGAAGAUUUUAGUGACUGAGUGGCGGACGGGUGAGUAACGCGUGGGUAACCUGCCUCAUACAGGGGGAUAACAGUUAGAAAUGACUGCUAAUACCGCAUAAGACCACAGCACCGCAUGGUGCAGAGGUAAAAACUCCGGUGGUAUGAGAUGGACCCGCGUCUGAUUAGGUAGUUGGUGGGGUAACGGCCUACCAAGCCGACGAUCAGUAGCCGACCUGAGAGGGUGACCGGCCACAUUGGGACUGAGACACGGCCCAAACUCCUACGGGAGGCAGCAGUGGGGAAUAUUGCACAAUGGGGGAAACCCUGAUGCAGCGACGCCGCGUGAGCGAUGAAGUAUUUCGGUAUGUAAAGCUCUAUCAGCAGGGAAGAAAAUGACGGUACCUGACUAAGAAGCACCGGCUAAAUACGCGCCAGCAGCCGCCGUAA
rnacentral:rRNA from 1 species